rnacentral:rRNA from 1 species
GACGAACGCUGGCGGCGUGCUUAACACAUGCAAGUCGAACGGAAAGGCCCUGAUUUUGUGGGGUUCUCGAGUGGCGAACGGGUGAGUAUCACGUGUGUAACCUGCCCUUGUCUUUGGGAUAACUUCACGUAACUGGGGCUAAUACCGGAUAGGAUCUCCUGCAGCAUGGUGGGGGUUGGAAAGUUUCGGCGGUUGGGGAUGGACUCGCGGCUUACCAGCUUGUUGGUGGGGUAGGGGCUUACCAAGGCUUUGACGGGUAGCCGGCCUGAGAGGGUGACCGGGCACAAUAGGACUGAGAUACGGCCCAGACUCGUACGGGAGGCAGCAGUGGGGAGUAUUACACAAUGGGCGGAAGCCUGAUGCAGCGACGCCGCGUGCGGGAUGACGGCCUUCUGGUUGUGAACCGCUGUCGCCUGUGACGAAGCGUGAGUGACGGUAAUGGGUAAAGAAGCACCGGCUAACUACGUG